rnacentral:lncRNA from 1 species
GGGAAAACAUCUGGAACGGCCCGUCCGCACGGUGAUCACCGUGCGGACACCGUCCAUUCCGAUUUUCGCCAUCGUUCAUUCCGAUCACCGUUCAUUCCAGAACCGAUUCCGCGAGCAGAGGAUGGAGCAGAGGUUCCGCGAGGGAGCGAUGGGUUCCGCGAGGAUGGAGCAUGGUUUCCGAUUGCGCUAGGAUGGAGCAUGGGUUCAUUCCAGAACCGAUUCCGCGAGCAGAGGUUCCGCGAGGGAGCGAUGGGUUCCGCGAGGAUGGGUUCCGAUUGCGCGAGGAUGGAGCAUGGGUUCAUUCCAGAACCGAUUGCGCGAGCAGAGGAUGGAGCAUGGGUUCCGCGAGGGAGCGAUGGGUUCCGAUUCCGCGAGCAGAGGUUCCGCGAGCAUGAGGAUGGAGCAUGGGUUCCGCGAGGGAGCCAUGGGUUCCGAUUGCGCGAGCAGAGGUUCCGCGAGGGAGCGAGGAUGGAGCAUGGGUUCCGAUUGCGCGAGGAUGGAGCAUGGGUUCAUUCCAGAACCGAUUCCGCGAGCAUGAGGAUGGAGCAUGGGUUCCGCGAGGGAGCCAUGGGUUCCGAUUGCGCGAGCAGAGGUUCCGCGAGGGAGCGAGGAUGGAGCAUGGGUUCCGAUUGCGCGAGGAUGGAGCAUGGGUUCAUUCCAGAACCGAUUCCGCGAGCAGAGGAUGGAGCAUGGGUUCCGCGAGGGAGCGAUGGGUUCCGAUUCCGCGAGCAGAGGUUCCGCGAGCAUGAAGUCCCUUAUUUAAAGAUCGGACGGUGGAGGGCAGGGUACCGUCAGGAGCGACCGUGCGAACAGGGUCGUUCCUGAUCUGUACUGUAUAUAUAUAUAUAUAUAUGCUUCUAGAACCCUUAUUUAAAAUGAUUUUUAGGGGUAUUUUGGUAACUUUAUAUCUGAAAAGUCGGUCAUGACACUCAAUUCCAC